rnacentral:rRNA from 1 species
UACGGAGGGUGCAAGCGUUGUCCGGAAUCACUGGGCGUAAAGGGCGCGUAGGCGGCUCAUGAAGGCUGUGGUGAAAGUCCGGGGCUCAACCUCGGAUCGGCCGUGGCGACUCGUGGGCUGGAGCACUGUAGAGGCGGGUGGAAUUCCGGGGUGUAGCGGUGGAAUGCGUAGAGAUCCGGAAGAACACCAGUGGCGAAGGCGGCUUCCUGGCCUGUUCUUGACGCUGAGGCGCGAAAGCUAGGGGAGCAAACGGGG